GCUAGCGACGAAACCACGUUGAAUGGGGGGCCAGUUCCCAAUCCCAAAGGUUCACUGAUAUUAAACAACGUUGCACGUGAUUGGUAUCCUGAUGAGUGGCUGUUUGGGUAAUCGCGUGCUGCUGUCU
rnacentral:rRNA from 1 species